AUUGAACGCUGGCGGCAUGCCUUAUACAUGCAAGUCGAACGGUAACGGGCCUUCGGGUGCCGACGAGUGGCGAACGGGUGAGUAAUGCAUCGGGAACGUACCUUUCAGUGGGGGAUAACGUAGCGAAAGUUACGCUAAUACCGCAUAUUCUGUGAGCAGGAAAGCAGGGGAUCGCAAGACCUUGCGCUGAUUGAGCGGCCGAUGUCAGAUUAGCUAGUUGGUGAGGUAAAGGCUCACCAAGGCGACGAUCUGUAGCGGGUCUGAGAGGAUGAUCCGCCACACUGGAACUGAGACACGGUCCAGACUCCUACGGGAGGCAGCAGUGGGGAAUUUUGGACAAUGGGGGCAACCCUGAUCCAGCCAUGCCGCGUGAGUGAAGAAGGCC
rnacentral:rRNA from 1 species